UACGUAGGGUGCAAGCGUUAAUCGGAAUUACUGGGCGUAAAGCGUGCGCAGGCGGUCCGUUAAGACAGAUGUGAAAUCCCCGGGCUUAACCUGGGAACUGCAUUUGUGACUGGCGGACUCGAGUAUGGCAGAGGGGGGUAGAAUUCCACGUGUAGCAGUGAAAUGCGUAGAGAUGUGGAGGAAUACCGAUGGCGAAGGCAG
rnacentral:rRNA from 1 species